rnacentral:rRNA from 1 species
CGAAGCGUGCGAUUGGAUUGCACGUCUAAGCAGUAAGGCUGAGUAUUAGGCAAAUCCGGUACUCGUUAAGGCUGAGCUGUGAUGGGGAGAAGACAUUGUGUCUUCGAGUCGUUGAUUUCACACUGCCGAGAAAAGCCUCUAGAUAGAAAAUAGGUGCCCGUACCGCAAACCGACACAGGUAGUCAAGAUGAGAAUUCUAAGGUGAGCGAGCGAACUCUCGUUAAGGAACUCGGCAAAAUGACCCCGUAACUUCGGGAGAAGGGGUGCUCUUUAGGGUUAACGCCCAGAAGAGCCGCAGUGAAUAGGCCCAAGCGACUGUUUAUCAAAAACACAGGUCUCUGCUAAACCGUAAGGUGAUGUAUAGGGGCUGACGCCUGCCCGGUGCUGGAAG